rnacentral:lncRNA from 14 species
UGAGCAAAUGCAAGAGGUGUUUGUGUUUUUCUUCCUUGGUUUCUAAUGCAAUUUACAAACCAGACACUACUGUAUUUGAGGUUUGCAAACCCAAGUACGUGCUCGAGUUAUGAAUAGCUUCGGUCGUGUAGGACCAUCCUCAGCGUAGUCUAGAAAUGAUCUUCCUGUGUCAAAACAAGAGGUACCUGGAGAUGUGGUGGUUUUGGGGCUUCAUUUCUUUCAACUGACCACUUUGCUGCUGUGAUCUAAAGUGAACCUGACUGCCGAAUCUGGUGAACUGACUUUAACUUCUCCUUUCGCCCCGUACGCGCUGUGGGCAGUAACAACCAUGUUUACACCAUCCUUUCUCUUGUCAGCUCUUCCCCGGAGGGGCUUUGUUGUAGUUCCUCCUCUCGGUUGUGGCAAAGCUGUUGCUUUUCUUUCCGUGUUUUCCGAGAGCCGCCUGCUGACCAUGCUGAGCCGGUUUCUUUAUGGGAAUCAGAGGAGCUUGUCAGGAGCAUUUCUUUCCAUCGUUUUCACUCAGCUUUUGGCCAGGGAUGGAAAGAUUUCCNNCCCCCUCUUCCCCAAGACAUCAAAGCUCAUCUCCUCCUAACUCCCACCUACGUGAAUUUGUUCUGCAGCGGUGCCCGCUCCCUGUGCAAGGGAGGAUGCUCCUCAGGGCCAUUGCAGGCUCAGAGAAGGAGGGGGAAGAGCCCUUGUUUUGAGGUUUAUUCACCUUUUGAGCCAUUAGCUUCUUCAUUUCAGAUGACUUUGCUGUUGGCGGGAGCCCGGGAUGCUCCUGCAUCCCAACGCGGUGCUGCCCCCAGCGCAUCCUUUGUACCUGCUUGGAAAGAAAGGAGCAUCUUUCAGUCCUCUUUACAGAGAAGCAAGGCCCAGUUUGCAGUACACAAGUAAUCAUUGGGGUUUGGUGGUUUGUUUUAUUUGGGGUGGGGAGGGAUUUGUGUUUUUGUUUUUUACUUUCGAUACAAAACAUUCCUUUUUUUAGCCGUCACAGCCAUGUAUUCAUUCCAUUCUUCCUUUUGUAAACCUUUUUGGGCCCACGUCUUUUGCGGGCAUUGCUAUAUAUAAAUAUAUAGAUAAAGAUAUAUAUGAAUCUAUUUUUUUAAGUUUCCUACACCUCGAGGUUGCAUGGUCCCUAAGGUUGGCAUGUCUUUCUAUUGUACCCAGAUUUUGCACGCCAGACGUGGCAGCUUUGAGAAAUGAGAAAAGGAUAAAAAACGUGUGGUUUUGGGGGUUGUUUUUGGGGUUGGUUUUCCUUUUUUUCCCACUAUUUCUUUUGGACGUGGGGUGGGAGGGGGGUUAUGGUUUUCCUCUCGUGGCAUUCGCGGAGACGAAAGGUCGGGAUGUUGUUGUCACACACACACACACGUGCGCACCCACACAGCUACACACGAAGGAGAGUGGGAAGGGGUUUUUUUUGCGUCUUACUGAACUUAACUGAGAAAUUGUGCUUUUUGUUGUUAAAAAUACAUAAAAAAGGAAAAAAAAACAAAAAAAAGAUGAAAAAGGACUACUUAAACAUUUCUCAUUUUAAGAAGAAAAAAAAAGAUGUUUAUCUAGCACUUGUAACUUACCAAUAAUAGAGUUUAUUGUAUUUAUGUGGAAACAGUGUUUUUAGGGCGACUACGCAGAACACACCAAGUCAAAACUGCCUGUGUCAUUUGGGGAAGGGGAAAGGGGGAGGGUUUAGUUUUCUCCUUUGCGUUUGGGUUGGGAGGUUCGCUUUGCUUUCUCAGCCGGGUGGGAGGUUGGAUGCAACAGCUAAGAGUCAUUCCAUCCGCGGAGGUGAAUGAGGAGGACUUUGAUGCGUUAACUCUUCAGCGCAGCUGCGGGAUCUUCCCGAAAGCUUCUUUUCCAUGAUGUGUAUCCUUGCUGGGUUUCCCUUUCAAAGCAG